rnacentral:rRNA from 1 species
GUGUCAGCAGCCGCGGUAAUACAGAGGUCCCAAGCGUUGUUCGGAUUCACUGGGCGUAAAGGGUGCGUAGGCGGUCGGGUAAGUCUGAUGUGAAAUCUCCAAGCUUAACUUGGAAAUGGCAUCGGAUACUAUUCGGCUCGAGGAAUGGAGGGGAGACUGGAAUACUUGGUGUAGCAGUGAAAUGCGUAGAUAUCAAGUGGAACACCAGUGGCGAAGGCGAGUCUCUGGACAUUUCCUGACGCUGAGGCACGAAAGCCAGGGGAGCAAACGGGAUUAGAUACCCCAGUAGUCC